rnacentral:rRNA from 1 species
UAGAUGUUGCAUGACAUUUGCUUAAAAGGUGCAAUUGCAUCACUACCAGAUGGACCUGCGUUGUAUUAGCUAGUUGGUGGGGUAACGGCUCACCAAGGCGACGAUACAUAGCCGACCUGAGAGGGUGAUCGGCCACACUGGGACUGAGACACGGCCCAGACUCCUACGGGAGGCAGCAGUAGGGAAUCUUCGGCAAUGGACGGAAGUCUGACCGAGCAACGCCGCGUGAGUGAAGAAGGUUUUCGGAUCGUAAAGCUCUGUUGUAAGAGAAGAACGAGUGUGAGAGUGGAAAGUUCACACUGUGACGGUAUCUUACCAGAAAGGGACGGCUAACUACGUGCCAGCAGCCGCGGUAAUACGUAGGUCCCGAGCGUUGUCCGGAUUUAUUGGGCGUAAAGCGAGCGCAGGCGGUUAGAUAAGUCUGAAGUUAAAGGCUGUGGCUUAACCAUAGUACGCUUUGGAAACUGUUUAACUUGAGUGCAAGAGGGGAGAGUGGAAUUCCAUGUGUAGCGGUGAAAUGCGUAGAUAUAUGGAGGAACACCGNGUGGCGAAAGCGGCUCUCUGGCNUUGUAACUG